GGGGGGGGUGGUCUGUAUGGGGGACGGUCUGCCAAAAUAAAGGACCCCAAAGUGCUGCGCUGGAUGUGUGUGUGUGUGUGACCCACUGAGCUCCGCUGGGCUCCAUUGAGCUCCAUUGAGGUGGAGGACCACUAUAGAGCCCCACAGAGCCCCACUGAGCCCCAUAGAGCCCCAUAGAGUCGCAACAAACCCCAUAGAGCCCCAUAGAGCCCCACAGAGCCCCAUUGAGCCCCAUAGACCCCAUAGAGUCGCAACAGACCCCAUAGAGCCCCAUAGACCCGAUAGAGUCGCAACAGACCCCAUAGAGCCCCAUAGACCCUAUAGAAACUCAACAGACACCAUAGAGCCCCAUAGAGCCCAUGGAGAUCCAUAGAGCCCCAUAGAGCCCCAUAGACCCCAUAGAGAUCCAUAAAGAUCCGUAGACCCCAUAGAGUUCCAUAGAGAUCCAUAGACCCCAUAGAGCCCAUAGAUAUCCAUAGAGCCCCAUAGACCCCAUAGAGAUCCAUAGAGAUGCAUAGAGCCCCAUAGAGCCCCAUAGACCCGAUAGAGAUCCAUAGACCCCAUAGAGAUCCAUAGAGCCCCAUAGACCCCAUAGACCCCAUAGACCCCAUAGAGAUCCAUAGAGAUCCAUAGAGCCCCAUAGAGCCCCAUAUACCCCAUAGAGAUCCACAGAGCCCCAUAGAGCCCAUAGAGCCCCAUAGAUCCCAACAGACCCCAUAGAGAUCCACAGAGCCCCAUAGAGCCCCAUAGAGCCCAUAGAGCCCCAUAGAGCCCAACAGACCCCAUAGAGAUCCACAGAGCCCCAUAGAUCCCAACAGACCCCAUAGAACCCAACAGACACCAUAGAGCCCCAUAGAGCCCAUAGACCCCAUAGAGCCCCAUAGAGCCCAUAGAGUCCCAACAGACCCCAUAGAGCCCCAUAGAGCCCAUAGAGCCCCAUAGAGCCCCAUAGAGCCCAUAGAGCCCCAUAGACCCCAUAGAG
ensembl:lncRNA